rnacentral:rRNA from 1 species
AUUGAACGCUGGCGGCAGGCCUAACACAUGCAAGUCGAGCGGGCGUAGCGGGCUUGCUCCUGGAUUCAGCGGCGGCCGGGUGAGUCAUGCCUAUGACUCUGCCUGAGAGCGGGGGAUCACGUCCGGAUACGGGCGCUGCUACCGCAGAGGACGUGAGGUCGAAGGAGGGGGGUCUUGGGACCUCUCGCUAUCAUAUGAGCCUAGGUGGGAUUGGCUAGGUGGUGGGAUAACGGCCUACCAAGGCGACGAUCCGUAACUGGUCUGAGAGGAUGAUCAGUCACAUCGGAAGUGAGACACGGUCCAGACUCCUACGGUGGGCCGCAGUGGGGAAUAUUGGACGAUGGGCGAAAGCCUGAUCCAGCCAUGCCGCGGGUGUGAAGAAGGUGUUCGGCUUGGAGAGCACUGUAAGUUGGGGGGAAGGGCAGUAAGUUAAGCCCGGGCUGUUUUGACGUUACCAGCAGAAGAAGCACCGGCUAACUUCGUG